CGACAUGAUAGACCUUUCACAGUUUCAAUGGCAAAUGCGGGGCCAAAUACAAAUGGCUCUCAGUUCUUUAUUACCACUGUAGCUACUCCGUGGCUGGACAAUAAGCACACUGUUUUUGGUAGAGUUAUAAAGGGCAUGGAUGUUGUACAGGCUAUUGAGAAAGUGAAGACAGACAAGGCAGACAAGCCAUAUCAAGAUGUAAAGAUCCUAAACGUGACUGUCCCCAAGUCAUAGGCGUUGUUUUCCAUUGAGUGUACAAUCUGUGUAUACAUGGUUGGAGGUCCACAUUAACAAUUAUUGGCUGCCAAAACAAAAACAUAUUUCAGGAAGUCUUUUGUUUGUUUUCUCAACCACUGUUCCAUGCAGUGUUUCAGACUACAAUCAUGAGUCCAUUAUUUGAGAAGAUUAAAAGUGUUGGCGUAGACAUCCUGUUCGAGCUUCAAGGAAGAAAGACCGGAAAAAAAAAAAAAAAAAAAA